UACGAAGGGGGCUAGCGUUGCUCGGAAUCACUGGGCGUAAAGCGCACGUAGGCGGAUUGCUAAGUCAGGGGUGAAAUCCUGGAGCUCAACUCCAGAACUGCCUUUGAUACUGGCGACCUUGAGUCCGGGAGAGGUGAGUGGAACUGCGAGUGUAGAGGUGAAAUUCGUAGAUAUCGGGAGGAACACCAGUGGCGAAGGCGGCGACCUGGGCCAAUAUUGACGCUGAGGUGCGAAAGCGUGGGGAGCAAACAGG
rnacentral:rRNA from 1 species